UACAGAGGUCCCGAGCGUUGUUCGGAUUCACUGGGCGUAAAGGGUGCGUAGGUGGUGGGGUAAGUCGGAUGUGAAAGCUCGGAGCUCAACUCCGAAAAGGCAUUGGAAACUGCCCUGCUAGAGGGUCGGAGGGGGGACUGGAAUUCUCGGUGUAGCAGUGAAAUGCGUAGAUAUCGAGAGGAACACCAGUGGCGAAGGCGAGUCCCUGGACGACACCUGACACUGGAGGCACGAAAGCUAGGGGAGCAAACAGG
rnacentral:rRNA from 1 species